GCUUUGCUUGGUGGUGAGAGUGGCGAACGGGUGAGUAAUGCGUGACCGACCUGCCCCAUACACCGGAAUAGCUCCUGGAAACGGGUGGUAAUGCCGGAUGCUCCGACUCCUCGCAUGGGGUGUCGGGAAAGAUUUCAUCGGUAUGGGAUGGGGUCGCGUCCUAUCAGGUAGUCGGCGGGGUAACGGCCCACCGAGCCUACGACGGGUAGCCGGCCUGAGAGGGCGACCGGCCACAUUGGGACUGAGAUACGGCCCAGACUCCUACGGGAGGCAGCAGUGGGGAAUAUUGCACAAUGGGCGCAAGCCUGAUGCAGCGACGCCGCGUGCGGGAUGACGGCCUUCGGGUUGUAAACCGCUUUUGAUCGGGAGCAAGCCUUCGGGUGAGUGUACCUUUCGAAUAAGCACCGGCUAACUACGUGCCAGCAGCCGCGGUAAUACGUAGGGUGCAAGCGUUAUCCGGAAUUAUUGGGCGUAAAGGGCUCGUAGGCGGUUCGUCGCGUCCGGUGUGAAAGUCCAUCGCUUAACGGUGGAUCUGCGCCGGGUACGGGCGGGCUGGAGUGCGGUAGGGGAGACUGGAAUUCCCGGUGUAACGGUGGAAUGUGUAGAUAUCGGGAAGAACACCAAUGGCGAAGGCAGGUCUCUGGGCCGUUACUGACGCUGAGGAGCGAAAGCGUGGGGAGCGAACAGGAUUAGAUACCCUGGUAGUCCACGCCGUAAACGGUGGAUGCUGGAUGUGGGGCCCGUUCCACGGGUUCCGUGUCGGAGCUAACGCGUUAAGCAUCCCGCCUGGGGAGUACGGCCGCAAGGCUAAAACUCAAAGAAAUUGACGGGGGCCCGCACAAGCGGCGGAGCAUGCGGAUUAAUUCGAUGCAACGCGAAGAACCUUACCUGGGCUUGACAUGUUCCCGACAGCCGUAGAGAUAUGGCCUCCCUUCGGGGCGGGUUCACAGGUGGUGCAUGGUCGUCGUCAGCUCGUGUCGUGAGAUGUUGGGUUAAGUCCCGCAACGAGCGCAACCCUCGCCCUGUGUUGCCAGCACGUCAUGGUGGGAACUCACGGGGGACCGCCGGGGUCAACUCGGAGGAAGGUGGGGAUGACGUCAGAUCAUCAUGCCCCUUACGUCCAGGGCUUCACGCAUGCUACAAUGGCCGGUACAACGGGAUGCGACACGGCGACGUGGAGCGGAUCCCUGAAAACCGGUCUCAGUUCGGAUUGGAGUCUGCAACCCGACUCCAUGAAGGCGGAGUCGCUAGUAAUCGCGGAUCAGCAACGCCGCGGUGAAUGCGUUCCCGGGCCUUGUACACACCGCCCGUACAAGUCAUGAAAGUGGGUAGCACCCGAAGCCGGU
rnacentral:rRNA from 1 species